rnacentral:rRNA from 1 species
CUGUCUGAAUAUGGGGGGACCAUCCUCCAAGGCUAAAUACUCCUGACUGACCGAUAGUGAACCAGUACCGUGAGGGAAAGGCGAAAAGAACCCCGGCGAGGGGAGUGAAAAAGAACCUGAAACCGUGUACGUACAAGCAGUGGGAGCACGCUUCGGCGUGUGACUGCGUACCUUUUGUAUAAUGGGUCAGCGACUUAUAUUCUGUAGCAAGGUUAACCGAAUAGGGGAGCCGAAGGGAAACCGAGUCUUAACUGGGCGUUAAGUUGCAGGGUAUAGACCCGAAACCCGGUGAUCUAGCCAUGGGCAGGUUGAAGGUUGGGUAACACUAACUGGAGGACCGAACCGACUAAUGUUGAAAAAUUAGCGGAUGACUUGUGGCUGGGGGUGAAAGGCCAAUCAAACCGGGAGAUAGCUGGUUCUCCCCGAAAGCUAUUUAGGUAGCGCCUCGUGAAUUCAUCUCCGGGGGUAGAGCACUGUUUCGGCAAGGGGGUCAUCCCGACUUACCAACCCGAUGCAAACUGCGAAUACCGGAGAAUGUUAUCACGGGAGACACACGGCGGGUGCUAACGUCCGUCGUGAAGAGGGAAACAACCCAGACCGCCAGCUAAGGUCCCAAAGUCAUGGUUAAGUGGGAAACGAUGUGGGAAGGCCCAGACAGCCAGGAUGUUGGCUUAGAAGCAGCCAUCAUUUAAAGAAAGCGUAAUAGCUCACUGGUCGAGUCGGCCUGCGCGGAAGAUGUAACGGGGCUAAACCAUGCACCGAAGCUGCGGCAGCGACACUAUGUGUUGUUGGGUAGGGGAGCGU